GUAUAAGCAAUUAUACCGCGAAACUGCGAAUGGCUCAUUAUAUAAGUUAUCGUUUAUUUGAUAGUACCUUACUACUUGGAUAACCGUGGUAAUUCUAGAGCUAAUACAUGCUAAAAAUCCCGACUUCGGAAGGGAUGUAUUUAUUAGAUUAAAAACCAAUGCCCUUCGGGGCUCACUGGUGAUUCAUAAUAACUUCUCGAAUCGCAUGGCCUUGCGCCGGCGAUGGUUCAUUCAAAUUUCUUCCCUAUCAACUUUCGAUGCUAGAGUAGUGUUCUAGCAUGGUUACAACGGGUAACGGAGGGUUAGGGCUCGACCCCGGAGAGGGAGCCUGAGAAACGGCUACCACAUCCAAGGAAGGCAGCAGGCGCGCAAAUUACCCAAUCCCGACUCGGGGAGGUAGUGACGAUAAAUACUGAUACAGGGCUCUUUUGGGUCUUGUAAUUGGAAUGAGUACAAUUUAAAUCCCUUAACGAGGAACAAUUGGAGGGCAAGUCUGGUGCCAGCAGCCGCGGUAAUUCCAGCUCCAAUAGCGUAUAUUAAAGUUGUUGUGGUUAAAAAGCUCGUAGUAGAACCUUGGGCCUGGCUGGCCGGUCCGCCUCACCGCGUGUACUGGUCCGGCCGGGCCUUUCCCUCUGUGGAACCGCAUGUCCUUCACUGGAUGUGUCGGGGAAACAGGACUUUUACUUUGAAAAAAUUAGAGUGCUCCAGGCAGGCCUAUGCUCGAAUACAUUAGCAUGGAAUAAUAAAAUAGGACGUGUGGUUCUAUUUUGUUGGUUUCUAGGACCGCCGUAAUGAUUAAUAGGGACAGUCGGGGGCAUCAGUAUUCAAUUGUCAGAGGUGAAAUUCUUGGAUUUAUUGAAGACUAACUACUGCGAAAGCAUUUGCCAAGGAUGUUUUCAUUUAUCAGGAACGAAAGUUAGGGGAUCGAAGACGAUCAGAUACCGUCGUAGUCUUAACCAUAAACUAUGCCGACUAGGGAUCGGACGAUGUUAUUUUUUGACUCGUUCGGCACCUUACGAGAAAUCAAAGUGCUUGG
rnacentral:rRNA from 1 species